GUCCAGUUCUUUGUUCAGGAUGCCAAGAACCUGGACACACUCCACCGGUAACAUAUUUUGGCAAGCCAGACAGGAGAGACCAUCAAGCUUCAGAUGAUCAUGUGACAAAGGUUCCAGUCAGUUCCAGGUGAAGACACCACCCCUGGUCAUUAAGGAGCUACCCUGUCUCCAUUAGACAGAGCAGGACAAGAGUUCUGUGAUCCACAAUGGGUAGGGACUACACCCUGAGCCAGCAUGAAGCAGUUACAGAAGAAAGACCGUCAGUCCCUCUGCCUCCCAUAAAGAUUUAUGGGGAUCAC
rnacentral:lncRNA from 1 species